rnacentral:lncRNA from 1 species
AUAAAAAAAUGCCCCUUCGAGUCUUGGGGCAUUCUAUAAUGUCAAUGAAGAAAAAAUAAAGCUUCUAUUUAAUUAUAUCUUAACAUUUUAAAAUUUGGAUUGUUGCAUGUUUGGUAGAAAGUCCCACCAUCUUUCCCCCAGGUUUCUUGUCGCCACCCUCCCCCCAGGCUUCCUGCUGCCCUGAGAAAAGCCCGCCAAGCCUGCUCUGUUCUGCCCAGCAACAACAAGCAGCCAAUCAUCGCAGCAGGAAAGCCCGCCAAGCCUCGGCCUAUCCUGAACCGACACGUAACCCUCUGAGCCACCUCAGCAGUCUGCCCAGAGAUGGACAGCCUAUCCUAAGCUCCUAUGACACUCCGCCAGCCCUGUGUCCAUGCCCCAUCCACCCCCCCUAUAAAACCCUCCUACCCCAGCUGCGCAGUCGCAGCCAGCCCCAAUCUCCUUCCUUUCCUGGCCUGCCCGCUGGUCCCAAUAAACCUGAACUCGGCUUCCAACUCUCGAGCUGUUAUUUGGGGUCGGGUACCGGGCAGGGGUCUACAAGGGGGUUGCACAUAUGGUGCUGAAACCUGGGAUGGAGGGUCGCUAGCCCCCCUAGUGACCCCCUCCGUCCAGCGACCUCCCCAGCCCUCCUCCAAUUCGGCCUCAGCACUCCGGACCAGUUCCUACAGCGGCGCUUUCAAGAACUGACUCGAGUCACCAUCCACCAGAUGCUGCUCCAACCCCACCCUGAACGAGUGCAAGAAACAGACCUCUCCCUGAACAUCCAGGCUCCUUAAGAAAAGAGACCUCUUCAGAACCCCCCCGUCGACCCUUGUCAGCAGGAAGUAGCCAGAUCGAUUCCGCCGCCCUUUUUCCUUUUUAAGGAGUCGGGAAUGUUUGGUAGAAAGUCCCGCCAUCUUUCCCCCAGGUUUCUUGCCCCCACCCUCCCCCCAGGCUUCCUGCUGCCCUGAGAAAAGCCCGCCAAGCCUGCUCUGUUCUGCCCAGCAACAACAAGCAGCCAAUCAUCGCAGCAGGAAAGCCCGCCAAGCCUCGGCCUAUCCUGAACCGACACGUAACCCUCUGAGCCACCUCAGCAGUCUGCCCAGAGAUGGACAGCCUAUCCUAAGCUCCUAUGACACUCCGCCAGCCCUGUGUCCACGCCCCAUCCACCCCCCCUAUAAAACCCUCCUACCCCAGCUGCGCAGUCGCAGCCAGCCCCGAUCUCCUUCCUUUCCUGGCCUGCCCGCUGGUCCCAAUAAACCUGAACUCGGCUUCCAACUCUCGAGCUGUUAUUUGGGGUCGGGUACCGGGCAGGGGUCUACAAGGGGGUCGCAUAUUGCAUAUGGUUUAAAAUUAACAUAAUAGUGCUAAUAUUAUUUGCCUUAUAGAAUACAAUAUUAAUAUGCAUAUAUUGUGGAUAGAAGCCAAUAAAAUGUUGCUGGUAUUAGUUACAUU